CGUUGAAACACCAGUUCCCAUAUGAUCACAGUAGUUAAGCAAGAUUGAUCCUGGUCAGUACCCAGAUGGGUGACCACUUGAGAAUAGCAUGUGCCGUAGG